GAUGAACGCUGGCGGCGCGCCUAACACAUGCAAGUCGAACGGUUAAAGCCCCUUCGGGGGUGCAUAAAGUGGCGAACGGCUGAGUAACACGUGGGCAACCUGCCCCUCGCACCGGGACAGCCUCGGGAAACCGUGGUUAAUACCGGAUACUCCCGCGCCCCCGCAUGGGGGCGCGGGGAAAGCCCAGACGGCGAGGGAUGGGCCCGCGGCCUGUUAGCUCGUUGGCGGGGUAACGGCCCACCAAGGCGAUGAUGGGUAGCCGGGUUGAGAGACCGACCGGCCAGAUUGGGACUGAGACACGGCCCAGACUCCUACGGGAGGCAGCAGUGGGGAAUCUUGCGCAAUGGGCGGAAGCCUGACGCAGCGACGCCGCGUGCGGGAAAGGAGGCCUUUCGGGUCGUAAAACCGCUUCAGCAGGGAACGAGG
rnacentral:rRNA from 1 species